rnacentral:rRNA from 1 species
CCUACGGGGGGCUGCAGUAGGGAAUAUUGGACAAUGGGCGCAAGCCUGAUCCAGCCAUGCCGCGUGAGUGAAGAAGGCCCUCGGGUUGUAAAGCUCUUUUGUUGGGGAAGAAAAGCAUUCGGCUAAUACCCGGGUGUCCUGACGGUACCCAAAGAAUAAGCACCGGCUAACUUCGUGCCAGCAGCCGCGGUAAUACGAAGGGUGCAAGCGUUACUCGGAAUUACUGGGGGUAAAGCGUGAGGUGUGGUGUGAAAGCCCUGGGCUCAACCUGGGAAUGGCAUUGGAUACUGGCGGGCUAGAGUGCGGUAGAGGGUAGUGGAAUUCCCGGUGUAGCAGUGAAAUGCGUAGAGAUCGGGAGGAACAUCCGUGGCGAAGGCGACUACCUGGACCAGCACUGACACUGAGGCACGAAAGCGUGGGGAGCAAACAGGAUUAGAUACCCGGGUAGUC